CUCUUUCCAACCCGCCUCCGCCCUCACCACCAGGUACUGGGCCAGCAAUCACGCGGCCGUCGGGCCGCUCAAAGGACCUCAAAUGCCAGGCGGGACACAGGAUUGGAUCCCACAGGAGGACAUGGCCACACGUGGCCCAGAAUACAGCCGAGUCCAGCACCACAGCCCAUGCUGUCCUGUUUCAGGAAGCCCCAACCUGAGCAUCCACACUCAACAGCAGGGCAGUCCCCGGUGCUACAAGUGCCUGCUCUGUGAUCUGGAAGUGACUGUCUGUCCCUGUGGCCUUGCCAC